rnacentral:rRNA from 1 species
CGUGUAGGCGGCUUGGUAAGUCAGAUGUGAAAGCCCUGGGCUCAACCCGGGAAGUGCAUUUGAAACUGUCAGGCUCGAGUAGGGGAGAGGGAAGUGGAAUUCCUGGUGUAGAGGUGAAAUUCGUAGAUAUCAGGAGGAACACCGGUGGCGAAGGCGACUUCCUGGCCCUAUACUGACGCUGAGACGCGAGAGCGUGGGUAGCAAACA